rnacentral:rRNA from 1 species
GAUGAACGCUGGCGGCGUGCUUAACACAUGCAAGUCGAACGAACCUUCGGGUUAGUGGCGGACGGGUGAGUAACGCGUGAGAAUCUGCCCUCAGGAGGGGGAUAACGGCUGGAAACGGCCGCUAAUACCCCAUAUGCCGAGAGGUGAAACGAAUUUCGCCUGAGGAUGAGCUCGCGUCUGAUUAGCUAGUUGGUGGGGUAAAGGCCCACCAAGGCAUCGAUCAGUAGCUGGUCUGAGAGGAUGAUCAGCCACACUGGGACUGAGACACGGCCCAGACUCCUACGGGAGGCAGCAGUGGGGAAUUUUCCGCAAUGGGCGAAAGCCUGACGGAGCAACGCCGCGUGAGGGAUGAAGGCCUCUGGGCUGUAAACCUCUUUUCUCAAGGAAGAAGAACUGACGGUACUUGAGGAAUAAGCCACGGCUAAUUCCGU